GAAUUGCGUGUUUCUUCCUUGAUUCUCAUCACUCCCUAAUUUCAAUGCUGUUAGAAAUUCCUAAUUUUAUGCUCAUUUAGUGUAGUUCAACUUCAAUAAACUGACAAUUUUACUUAAAUUGUCAAUUUUAGUUGCUCAAAAUGCAUUGCAGGUGCAAAAUGGUAUCAGGAAGUGUUUUGGUUAACUAGAACUUUGCUGCAGGUUUCAACGUCUCCGUGGUCGGCACUGCCUGGGGAAUUUACAUAAUUGGUAGUAGCUUGAUCGGUGCUGCAAUCAAGGCUCCCUGAAUCACUUCCAAGAAUCUCAUUAGGUGCUGCAAUGACGAACUCUGAUUUGGGGUGUUGAUGCUGAGAAGUGCAUCUCAGGAAAGAUUGAGAAGAAGUCCAAAAUUAUUCUUCUAUCUCCAUUGUAAGCUUAUCUCAGCGUGCCAGGUUUCCGGUUCACAGGGUCAGCGAGGCGGAUAUCCGUACCCGUACGCGCGCGGGUUUCUAUUUGGCGGGUUUUAAACAGGGUGACAAGAUUCAGGCUACAGUGUGGAGCAGCCACGUUGUAAAAUUUGAGUCAGCCUUAAAAGAGGGGGUGUGCUAUGAAAUUGUCAUUCUCAGCGUCGCUAUUAAUAAUUACAAAUAGACACCUUGCACUCAUCCAUGCAGGUUGUAUUUCAAGUUGCAAACUGAAGUGAAACCUAUAGAAGCUCGAAAAAUUCCUUAUUAUGGGUUUAGCUUCGCACCAUAUGGUUCAAUAUUUGAAAAUCUUAAAGAGGACGAGGAAUUGAUCGACACCUUAGGUGUUGUCGUAGCCAAAUGAUAACUAUCAGACUUCAAGAAAGAAGUUACUACAGUCAGUCAACUAUAUUGUUGUUGAUUUGGAUGCUCUAGACGGAAGUGAAAUCCUAAGGUGUACACUGUGGGAAGAUUUUGCUCAACAAUUUUUACAAUAUGUUGCUGAAGGACACGAUGGUCCAGUGGUUCUUAUUCUGCAGUUGGCUAAAAUGAAAAUGUACAAAGAGUAAAAAACAAACAAGGGCUACAGAUCCUAAUAGAAAAUCAUGAUGAUCUACCUUCUGACAAAACAAUUCAUGUUGUGUACGAGAGAGUAUUUUCAAAUAUAACUCUAUAAGGUCAAGAAAGCAUGCACGAAGCAACAAGGGAUUUGUGUCAGAAGAUUCUGGAUCGCUGUCUUAUGUGCAGUUCAUGUUUUACACCGCAAUUCCGCUCCUUGCUGUUCUUUAUGAAUGAAGACCAUUUGUUAAUCUUUUUUAGUAUUACACAAUAAUCUAACCAUUGGUUUCAUCAGCCUUUCAAUUUCCACUUCAAGACUUUAGACA